rnacentral:lncRNA from 1 species
AACACUUCAGUAGGCUAAAAAUUCUUCUCGUUCUCCUUGUUUCUCUGCCCUUAGCUGUCUAAUGUGUUUUCGAUGCAGGAUAACUAAGAAAAACCAUAAACUGUAAGGAAGAAAUGGUAAAGCUCGGUUAAGCCAUCGCACCAGAGGACCGGAACCACUGAUAAGCAUUCAUUUUACCCCGCCCUUUGCCAAGAAAUACCCCUUAACAUGAUUUAAAUAGAUUUCCAUCAAGGACCGGUUAAAACUGGUCUGAUUGAGAGGAAGAGCCAUCGUAGAAGGCGGACCAGGAGGCAGAGCACGACGUUGCCACCGCGUCAGAACUCCAACCCGACCUCCCAGUGUGAUUUUUGCCUUUUUUGUUGUUUCUUGCAUAUUUUCACACUAUCUUGACGUACGUUCAAUUUUAUCAUGAAACUCCAAGAAAUUCGAGAUCUGAAAAUCGUCGAGAAUCGUAGUGAAAAAAAAGGCGAUGUUCUGGAUACCAACGCAAGCUAAGAAUCUCUCACCCAUUUUCCAUGUUAUAACAAACUUAAAGCUAAUUAAUAUAAACAAACAUUUUAGAUAAUUGACGAUCUGUUGAUUAAUUAAGUACAGGUUGUCAAAGAAGCCAAUAAUCGGUCAGUCCAUGCUUGCUUAAUUGUGUUGAUUAUUUAUUCGGUCGCUUUAUUGUGUAU